UGCGUGAAACCGAUCAGAGGUAAGCGGGUGGAGUUGAACUGCAAGCUCUGAGAAUUCAGCUGGUGAGUGUGGUUUGAGCUUGGUCAAGUCGGUUGGACCUCGGAGUCUGUGUAGCAACAGGCCUUUGCCUUUCUGGGUAGAGGUGCGCGAUGCACUUAUCAAGUGUUGUGCGCUCCGGGUGUUCUUCGGGCCGACUCGCCAGUGCACUUUCUCAGAGUAGUCACCACGACCGGCACUGCUGUCUGGCUGGUGCGGUUAAACCGGUCUUGCAUUGUCCUUGUGGCUUUGCUUGGUCGGGAUGGCAGGUAGCUUGUUGGCUGGCUUGUGGUUCGCUGCAAUCGGUCUUCGAGUGUAAUCAGCUGACCGUAUCGGUUCUGUGCAGUGUGUCGGAGACGGCGGCUUUUGUGUGUGCGUGCGUGCCAGGUUGGCCGGCGUGUUCGAGUUCUGGUUGUUCCGUAGCCUGUGAAUGCAGGCCUGAUGAUGGCUCGGAUUCGUUCGGUCAACGGUUGCGUGCGUGACACUUUUCAUGGGCCAAUAGUCUGUGGUGUAGUGGUAGACUAUCCACCCGACCCGUCUUGAAACACGGACCAAGGAGAGUAACAUGUGCGCGAGUCAUUGGGCGAUACGAAACCCAUAGGCGCAGUGAAAGUGAAUGUUUGGCUUGUCCAGACUGAGGUGAGAUCCUGUCGUUUCUCAUGCGUGGUACCACCAAGCUUCGAGCGGCAGGCGCAUCACCGGCCCGUCCCAUGACGAUUGUUUUCGGACAUUACCCAGUCGGGGCGGAGCAUGAGCGUACAUGUUGAGACCCGAAAGAUGGUGAACUAUGC
rnacentral:rRNA from 1 species